GAUGAACGCUGGCGGCGUGCUUAACACACGCAAGUCGAACGAAGCACUUUGAUCUCUUCGGAAAGAUGAGUGACUGAGUGGCGGACGGGUGAGUAACGCGUGGGUAACCUGCCUCAUACAGGGGGAUAACAGUUGGAAACGACUGCUAAUACCGCAUAAGCGCACAGUACCGCAUGGUACAGGGUGAAAAACUCCGGUGUUAUGAGAUGGACCCGCGUCUGAUUAGCUAGUUGGUGAGGUAACGGCCCACUAAGGCGACGAUCAGUAGCCGACCUGAGAGGGUGACCGGCCACAUUGGGACUGAGACACGGCCCAAACUCCUACGGGAGGCAGCAGUGGGGAAUAUUGCACAAUGGGCGAAAGCCUGAUGCAGCGACGCCGCGUGAGCGAAGAAGUAUUUCGGUAUGUAAAGCUCUAUCAGCAGGGAAGAUAAUGACGGUACCUGACUAAGAAGCCCCGGCUAACUACGUGCCAGCCGCCGCGGUAACAC
rnacentral:rRNA from 1 species